UGCAGUCGAGCGAACAGAUGAGAAGCUUGCUUCUCUGAUGUUAGCGGCGGACGGGUGAGUAACACGUGGGUAACCUACCUAUAAGACUGGGAUAACUCCGGGAAACCGGGGCUAAUACCGGAUAAUAUUUUGAACCGCAUGGUUCGAUAGUGAAAGACGGUUUCGGCUGUCACUUAUAGAUGGACCCGCGCCGUAUUAGCUAGUUGGUAAGGUAACGGCUUACCAAGGCGACGAUACGUAGCCGACCUGAGAGGGUGAUCGGCCACACUGGAACUGAGACACGGUCCAGACUCCUACGGGAGGCAGCAGUAGGGAAUCUUCCGCAAUGGGCGAAAGCCUGACGGAGCAACGCCGCGUGAGUGAUGAAGGUCUUCGGAUCGUAAAACUCUGUUGUUAGGGAAGAACAAAUUUGUUAGUAACUGAACAAGUCUUGACGGUACCUAACCAGAAAGCCACGGCUAACUACGUGCCAGCAGCCGCGGUAAUACGUAGGUGGCAAGCGUUAUCCGGAAUUAUUGGGCGUAAAGCGCGCGUAGGCGGUUUCUUAAGUCUGAUGUGAAAGCCCACGGCUCAACCGUGGAGGGUCAUUGGAAACUGGGAAACUUGAGUGCAGAAGAGGAGAGUGGAAUUCCAUGUGUAGCGGUGAAAUGCGCAGAGAUAUGGAGGAACACCAGUGGCGAAGGCGGCUCUCUGGUCUGUAACUGACGCUGAUGUGCGAAAGCGUGGGGAUCAAACAGGAUUAGAUACUCCUGGUAGUCCACGCCGUAAACGAUGAGUGCU
rnacentral:rRNA from 1 species